rnacentral:rRNA from 1 species
UACGAAGGUGGCAAGCGUUGUUCGGAUUUACUGGGCGUAAAGGGCGCGUAGGCGGCGCGGGCAGUCAACGGUGAAAGCUCGGGGCUCAACUCCGAGUCGGCCGUCGAUACUCCCGUGCUCGAGCACUGUAGAGGCAGGUGGAAUUCCGGGUGUAGCGGUGGAAUGCGUAGAGAUCCGGAAGAACACCGGUGGCGAAGGCGGCCUGCUGGGCAGUAGCUGGACGCUGAGGCGCGACAGCGUGGGGAGCAACAGG